CAGGGAGGUAGUGACAAGAAAUAACAAUACAGGACUUUUUGGUUUUGUAAUUGGAAUGAGUUAAGUAUAAACCCCUUUACAAGUAUCAAUUGGAGGGCAAGUCUGGUGCCAGCAGCCGCGGUAAUUCCAGCUCCAAUAGCGUAUAUUAAAGUUGUUGCAGUUAAAAAGCUCGUAGUUGGAUUUCUGUUAAUAAUUUAUAUAAAAUAUUUUGAUGAAUAUUUAUAUAAUAUUAACAUAAUUCAUAUUACUAUUUUUUUUUUUAGUAUAUGAAAUUUUACUUUGAGAAAAUUAGAGUGCUUAAAGCAGGCAUAUGCCUUGAAUACUCCAGCAUGGAAUAAUAUUAAAGAUUUUUAUCUUUUUUAUUGGUUCUAAGAUAAGAAUAAUGAUUAAUAGGGACAGUUGGGGGCAUUUGUAUUUAACAGUCAGAGGUGAAAUUCUUAGAUUUGUUAAAGACAAACUAAUGCGAAAGCAUUUGCCAAGGAUGUUUUCAUUAAUCAAGAACGAAAGUUAGGGGAUCGAAGACGAUCAGAUACCGUCGUA
rnacentral:rRNA from 1 species